UACAGAGGUCUCAAGCGUUGUUCGGAUUCAUUGGGCGUAAAGGGUGCGUAGGCGGCGCGGUAAGUCGGGUGUGAAAUCUCGGAGCUUAACUCCGAAACUGCAUUCGAUACUGCCGUGCUUGAGGACUGGAGAGGAGACUGGAAUUUACGGUGUAGCGGUGAAAUGCGUAGAUAUCGGAAGGAACGCCGGUGGCGAAAGCGAUCCGCUGGCCCUCUACUGACGCUGAGGCGCGAAAGCCAGGGGAGCAAACGGG
rnacentral:rRNA from 1 species